rnacentral:misc_RNA from 1 species
GAAAUGCGAUACGUAAUGUGAAUUGCAGAAUUCAGUGAAUCAUCGAAUCUUUGAACGCAUAUUGCGCUCUUUGGUAUUCCGAAGAGCAUGCUUGUUUGAGUAUCAGUAAACACCUCAAAGCUUUUCAUUUUUUGGAAAGCCUUGGACUUGAGCGAACCCAACACCUUUCUAUUUCAGAUCGGCGGCGGGUUGCUUGAAAUGCAGGUGCAGCUGGACAUUCUCCUGAGCUAAAAGCAUAUUUAUUUAGUCCCGUCAAACGGAUUAUUACUUUUGCUGCAGCUUACAUAAAGGGAGUUUGACCUUAUUGGCUGACUGAUGCAGGAUUUCACAAGGGUCGGCAACGAUUUUUGUAAAACUCGAUCUCAAAUCAAGUAAGACUACCCGCUGAACUUAA